UUUAUAAAACCUCCAUAUCUGAGAUAUUAUAUUCACUGUUAUAUUCAGUUACUCAUAACAGAUCUGAUAUGAGCUGGGAAGAGAGUGACUCCGCUAGAGUCUGCUCAUGUUCUGAAACACAGGAACAGUGCUUUCUAUGAUAAUCCAUCAGAACACCCAAGACUUUUGAAGAUGGACGUGGUCUGCUAUCUACCAUUAUGUACUGCCUGCAUAAUUUCUCUGUUAGGGUCUUCAGGAGCCAUCACCGUACAGCAGUCUCCAUCUUCUCUCUUUGGAAAACUCAGUGAUCAUGUCCAGCUCACCUGCCAACAUGAUGAUAGCAACUAUAACAGAAUGUAUUGGUACCAGCAAGUUAAAGGAAAACAGUCAUUAGAGCUUGUUGGUUUCCUUAAUUACAACAAUGUCAACCAAGAUGAAAAGUAUGUAAGAAAAUUUAAUUUGACAGGAAAUGGAGAUAAGAAAGGCUCUUUGUUUAUCUCAACGUUAAAUGCUGAAGACAGUGGCACUUAUUUCUGUGCAGCAAGUAAGCACAGUGGUACAAGGUGUCUUGAACCUUUACGAAAAACCCACCUACCACUACUGCUGGCUACCUAAAAACUUUUCCUUCUCUGUGUAGCUGCAUUCACUGAUAUUUCCAAACAUAAUAAAACCUGGUGUUUAUUGUC